AGUUGUGCGUGCCGACGCCCGCGUCAGCAAAGAGCGGAGCUGAGGGUACCCGGUUUGAAGUCGUGCGGGUCGGAGGACUGCCGCCUCCGCUACCGUCUUGGACCCCUGCUUACCGGCCGCCGCGGGGACGAGCUCGGGUAGGCGGCAGGGCAGAUGCCCGAGGGCCUGCGCUGGAACGCCCCACGCCGCACCGGCCGCUCCCCUGUGCUCCGCGGCCUGGGCCUGCGCCGCUCAGCUCUCUGGAAACUAGCGCCUCAGCUGCGCGGCGCGUAGGUCGCGGGGAGCUCCGAACCGCCGGCGCCCGGCCAUGGCGGUCUCCAGUCUUUGGUACCUUCCAUGCAACUUGACAUCUGUUACCUGUGUCUCCUCCAUCUGUCUGUCUAUCCUUCAGAGAAUGAAGAAUGUUACUUUUUCCUGCUAGCUGUGUGCAACAGAAGUUUUAGCCAAAAGUAGUAUGGGAGCUAGAUCGCCUUUUUAUUUUACUGGAUACUGGCACUACUCCUGUUACAAGAAAAGCUGCUGCACAGCAACUUGGAGAAGUGGUGAAGCUUCAUCCCCAUGAACUAAAUAAUCUCCUGUCUAAAGUGUUGAUAUAUUUAAGGAGUGCAAAUUGGGAUACCCGGAUUGCAGCAGGACAAGCUGUUGAAGCUAUAGUGAAAAAUGUACCUGAGUGGAAUCCAGUGCCGAGAACCAGACAAGAACCUACUUCCGAAAGUUCUAUGGAAGAUUCACCUACUACAGAGCGAUUGAAUUUUGACAGAUUUGAUAUAUGUAGAUUGUUACAACAUGGUGCAUCACUCCUGGGAUCUGCUGGUGCCGAAUUUGAAGUCCAAGAUGAAAAAUCAGGUGAAGUGGAUCCUAAAGAGAGGAUAGCACGCCAACGAAAAUUAUUACAGAAGAAACUUGGCCUUAAUAUGGGAGAAGCAAUUGGAAUGAGUACUGAAGAACUUUUCAAUGAUGAGGAUUUGGAUUAUACCCCAACUUCAGCAUCCUUUGUUAACAAACAACCUACUCUUCAGGCAGCUGAAUUGAUUGACUCAGAGUUUCGAGCAGGAAUGAGCAAUAGACAAAAGAACAAAGCUAAAAGAAUGGCCAAGUUAUUUGCAAAACAGAGAUCCAGGGAUGCAGUGGAAACUAAUGAGAAGAGGUAUUGUUCUAGGCCCUGAGGACAUGUGUGAAUAAAAUAGAGAAGAAUUCCUGCCUUCGGAGGUUAUAGUCUGGAGGGAAAGAAAGAUGGGAAAUAAAUAAGUAAAAUACAGUGUCAAUGAUAGCACUGAUGGGGAGCCAGAAGAAAAGAGACGGAAAAUAGCAAAUGUUGUUAUUAAUCAGUCUGCAAAUGAUUCCAAAGUCUUGAUUGAUAAUAUUCCAGACAGCUCUUCCUUAAUUGAAGAGACAAAUGAAUGGCCUUUGGAAAGCUUUUGUGAAGAACUUUGCAAUGACCUUUUUAAUCCCUCCUGGGAGGUUCGACAUGGUGCAGGCACUGGACUUAGGGAAAUUCUUAAAGCUCAUGGGAAAAGUGGUGGUAAAAUGGGUGACAGCACUUUAGAAGAGGUAAGUGUAUUAAUGCAACAAUUAUCACCAAGUAUUAAUAGUUGGCAUCUUUUUCCAAUGUAGGGAAGUAACGAGUAUGUGCCGUGAAGUAGGAAUGAGAGGUAAAUAAGAGGAAGAGAUAUGAAAAGAUGAUUCAGCAGCAUCAAGAGUGGUUGGAAGACUUGGUUAUUAGACUCCUUUGUGUUUUUGCAUUAGACAGAUUUGGAGACUUUGUUUCUGAUGAAGUUGUGGCACCAGUUCGUGAAACUUGUGCUCAAACAUUAGGUGUGGUUUUAAAACACAUGAACGAAACAGGAGUUCAUAAGACUGUGGAUGUGCUGCUAAAAUUACUUACACAAGAACAAUGGGAAGUUAGACAUGGUGGUCUGCUGGGAAUAAAAUAUGCUUUGGCAGUCCGUCAGGAUGUAAUUAAUACUUUAUUGCCUAAAGUUUUAACUAGAAUAAUUGAAGGACUCCAGGAUCUUGAUGAUGAUGUCAGAGCUGUUGCUGCAGCAUCAUUAGUGCCUGUAGUAGAAAGCCUUGUCUAUCUUCAGACACAAAAGGUGCCCUUCAUUAUAAAUACAUUGUGGGAUGCUCUUCUGGAAUUAGAUGAUCUAACAGCUUCAACAAAUAGUAUUAUGACUCUCCUUUCAUCCUUGUUAACUUACCCUCAGGUCCAACAAUGCAGUAUUCAGCAGUCACUGACAGUUUUAGUUCCACGUGUCUGGCCUUUUUUGCAUCACACUAUAUCAUCAGUUCGAAGAGCAGCAUUGGAAACUCUGUUUACGUUAUUAUCAACACAGGACCAGAACUCUUCAUCUUGGCUUAUACCUAUACUGCCUGAUAUGCUCCGACACAUUUUUCAGUUCUGUGUUUUGGAAAGCAGCCAGGAAAUUCUGGACCUUAUUCACAAGGUUUGGAUGGAACUGUUGAGUAAGGCUUCAGUUCAGUAUGUGGUAGCAGCUGCUUGCCCAUGGAUGGGUGCUUGGCUUUGCUUGAUGAUGCAGCCUUCUCAUUUACCUAUCGAUUUAAAUAUGUUGCUAGAAGUAAAAGCUAGAGCCAAGGAAAAAACAGGUGGUAAGGUGCGCCAAGGCCAAAGCCAGAAUAAAGAAGUACUUCAGGAGUAUAUUGCAGGUGCCGACACCAUCAUGGAAGACCCAGCCACCAGGGAUUUUGUAGUUAUGCGGGCCAGAAUGAUGGCAGCCAAGUUGUUAGGAGCACUUUGUUGCUGUAUUUGUGAUCCAGGUGUAAAUGUGGUAACUCAAGAAAUUAAACCAGCUGAAUCCCUGGGCCAGUUACUACUCUUCCAUUUGAACUCCAAGUCUGCUUUACAGAGGAUUAGUGUAGCUUUGGUAAUCUGUGAAUGGGCUGCUUUACAAAAGGAGUGUAAAGCUGUUACCUUAGCUGUGCAGCCGCGUUUACUUGAUAUCCUUUCAGAACAUUUAUAUUAUGACGAAAUUGCCGUUCCAUUCACACGAAUGCAGAAUGAAUGUAAACAACUUAUAUCAUCAUUAGCUGAUGUACAUAUUGAAGUUGGUAAUCGAGUAAACAACAAUGUUUUAACAAUAGAUCAAGCUAGUGACUUGGUCACUACUGUUUUUAAUGAAGCCACAUCAUCUUUCGAUUUAAAUCCUCAAGUGUUACAACAGUUAGAUAGUAAACGACAGCAGGUCCAAAUGACAGUUACAGAGACCAACCAGGAGUGGCAAGUGUUGCAGUUGAGAGUGCAUACUUUUGCUGCCUGUGCAGUUGUGAGCUUGCAGCAGCUUCCGGAGAAAUUAAAUCCUAUCAUAAAACCAUUAAUGGAGACAAUUAAAAAAGAAGAGAAUACACUAGUGCAAAACUAUGCAGCUCAGUGCAUAGCUAAACUCCUUCAGCAGUGCACAACAAGGACGCCCUGUCCCAAUUCAAAAAUUAUUAAAAACCUCUGUAGCUCACUUUGUGUGGACCCAUAUCUAACUCCUUGUGUCACAUGUCCAGUACCAACACAAAGUGGCCAGGAAAAUUCUAAAGGAUCCACCUCAGAAAAAGAUGGAAUGCACCAUACUGUCACCAAGCACAGAGGUAUAAUUACACUCUACAGGCACCAGAAAGCUGCCUUUGCUAUCACAAGUAGGCGAGGUCCUACCCCCAAAGCAGUAAAAGCUCAAAUAGCAGAUCUUCCUGCAGGAAGUAGUGGAAAUAUUCUUGUUGAACUUGAUGAGGCCCAGAAGCCUUACCUGGUACAACGGAGAGGAGCUGAAUUUGCUUUGACAACUAUAGUAAAGCAUUUUGGUGGUGAAAUGGCAGUGAAGUUGCCACAUCUCUGGGAUGCUAUGGUUGGCCCAUUGAGGAAUACAAUCGACAUAAAUAAUUUUGAUGGAAAAUCCCUCCUGGAUAAGGGAGAUAGCCCUGCUCAAGAAUUGGUGAAUUCUCUGCAGGUUUUUGAAACAGCAGCAGCUUCAAUGGAUUCUGAGCUUCAUCCCUUGUUGGUCCAGCAUUUGCCACAUCUUUAUAUGUGCCUUCAAUACCCCAGUACUGCAGUGAGGCACAUGGCUGCUCGUUGUGUAGGUGUCAUGAGCAAAAUAGCUACCAUGGAAACAAUGAAUAUUUUUUUGGAGAAGGUUCUUCCGUGGCUGGGAGCAAUUGAUGACAGUGUCAAACAAGAGGGUGCAAUUGAAGCACUUGCCUAUAUUUCACAGAGCUCAAAAGAUGGAUGAAGAUCAAAUCAGUAGAAACUCUGGUUCAAAAAUACUGAAGAUUACAGGAGAACUGCGCUUACUAGGCUCACUUCAGGUGUAAUGGAACAACUAGAUGUUGGUAUUGUUCCAUAUAUUGUCCUUUUAGUUGUUCCUGUAUUAGGAAGAAUGAGUGAUCAGACAGACAGUGUGAGAUUCAUGGCCACGCAGUGCUUUGCAACGCUAAUUAGACUCAUGCCACUUGAGGCAGGCAUUCCAGACCCUCCAAACAUGUCAGCAGAAUUAAUCCAAUUGAAAGCCAAGGAGCGACACUUUUUGGAGCAAUUGUUAGAUGGGAAAAAAUUGGAAAAUUAUAAAAUUCCAGUACCAAUCAAUGCUGAACUCAGAAAAUAUCAGCAGGAUGGUGUGAACUGGUUAGCAUUUCUUAAUAAGUAUAAACUUCAUGGAAUUCUGUGUGAUGACAUGGGUUUAGGAAAAACUUUACAGUCCAUCUGCAUUCUAGCAGGAGAUCAUUGUCAUAGGGCCCAGGAAUAUGCAAGAUCAAAAUUAGCAGAAUGUAUGCCACUUCCUUCCUUAGUGGUUUGUCCGCCAACAUUAACAGGCCAUUGGGUGGAUGAAGUAGGUAAAUUUUGCUCUAGAGAAUAUCUCAACCCGUUGCAUUACACUGGACCUCCCACUGAAAGAAUAAGGUUACAGCACCAAGUAAAAAGGCACAAUCUAAUAGUGGCUUCAUAUGAUGUUGUGAGGAAUGACAUAGAUUUCUUUAGAAAUAUUAAAUUUAACUACUGCAUUCUUGAUGAAGGCCAUGUCAUCAAAAAUGGAAAAACAAAGUUGUCAAAAGCAGUAAAACAACUGACUGCUAAUUAUAGGAUUAUUCUUUCUGGAACACCAAUCCAGAACAACGUUUUGGAGCUGUGGUCAUUAUUUGAUUUCCUCAUGCCAGGAUUUUUGGGUACUGAACGCCAGUUUGCUGCUCGAUAUGGUAAACCUAUAUUAGCAAGUAGGGAUGCUCGAAGCUCCAGUCGAGAGCAAGAAGCAGGUGUUCUUGCUAUGGAUGCGCUGCACCGCCAAGUACUACCGUUUCUUUUGAGAAGAAUGAAAGAAGAUGUUUUGCAGGAUCUUCCACCUAAAAUUAUUCAAGACUAUUAUUGUACUCUUAGUCCUCUCCAGGUUCAGCUCUAUGAAGAUUUUGCUAAGUCUCGUGCCAAGUGUGAUGUUGAUGAAACAGUUUCUUCAGCUACACUUUCUGAAGAAACUGAAAAACCAAAGCUUAAAGCUACAGGCCACGUAUUCCAGGCAUUACAGUACUUACGUAAACUGUGCAACCAUCCAGCAUUAGUCUUAACACCUCAACAUCCAGAAUUCAAGACCACUGCCGAAAAACUGGCAGUUCAGAAUUCUUCUCUACAUGAUAUUCAACAUGCCCCUAAGCUCUCAGCUUUGAAACAAUUGCUGUUGGACUGCGGUUUGGGAAAUGGCAGCACUUCCGAGAGUGGCACAGAGUCUGUUGUGGCCCAGCACAGGAUACUGAUAUUCUGUCAGCUGAAAAGCAUGCUUGAUAUAGUAGAGCAUGAUCUCCUCAAACCUCACUUGCCCUCUGUCACUUAUUUGAGAUUAGAUGGCAGCAUACCUCCUGGUCAGAGGCAUUCCAUUGUUUCCCGGUUUAAUAAUGAUCCAUCUAUAGACGUUCUGUUACUUACCACUCACGUUGGUGGCCUGGGACUUAAUUUGACAGGCGCUGACACAGUAGUAUUUGUGGAGCAUGACUGGAAUCCUAUGCGAGAUCUACAAGCCAUGGACCGGGCCCAUCGCAUUGGGCAGAAACGUGUGGUUAACGUAUACCGAUUGAUAACCAGAGGAACAUUGGAAGAAAAAAUAAUGGGGUUGCAGAAAUUCAAGAUGAACAUAGCGAAUACUGUUAUUAGCCAAGAGAAUUCUAGUUUGCAGAGCAUGGGGACUGAUCAGCUUCUUGAUCUGUUUACUCUUGAUAAGGAUGGCAAAGCAGAAAAAGCUGACACCUCUACUUCUGGGAAAGCAAGUAUGAAAUCAAUUCUUGAAAACCUGAGUGAUCUUUGGGAUCAAGAGCAGUAUGAUUCAGAGUACAGCCUGGAAAAUUUUAUGCAUUCUCUCAAGUAACUAUCAAAUAUUGUAAAUGCAAUUGCUGCUAGUUCAGUUACAUUUCUGCUGAUAUUCAGCAAAUUUCUAAGUUUAUGGUGAACUUUUAACUCAAUGUGUAAAUAGAUCUGGAGAAUAUUCAGCAUAAUGCUGGCUCUUGUUUCACUGGGGGAAACAAGUUAUUCUCAAAUAUUUGCACUGUAUUAAAUUUAAAUGUUAAUGUGAAAUGGUUUAAAUUUUACAUGCUGAAAAGCUGCAGAGCAGAGGAACCAAACCAGGUUUAUUUGUGCUACCAGGAGGUGUUCUUAAUGGGAACAGGCCUCCUAUCUUUAGUCACUUUGUACAGGAUGAUAUCCAUGAGUACUUUAGUGUUUGUAUAUGUUUUUUCUUUUAAAUAGAACUUGUUUUUAUAAUUGAUUUAAAAUAGGGCUUUUUUUCUAUAAAAGCCUUAAUGAGCCAUAAUUUUAAGAAUAUAAGAAUAAUGACUAUGAUAUUGGUCAGUCUUAGAACAUGAAAAUGUCAGACAAUGAAUUUAAUCGGGCCCUUGGUGGAAACAUUUAUAUAUUUAAUGCAGAUGCAUAGUGUUUUUCAAAUCUUUAACAUCAUUUUUUCAACUUUUAAGAUAUAAUAUCAACUAUUCUAAAUACAGGUAAUGGUAUAUUUAAGGCUACCAUAACAUCCUAUUUAGAGGGUGGUUUUUUUUAAUUUAUCUAAUGGCUACGAUAUAGCCAGAUUCAAAUAACAUAUGUACUCAAUAGGUUUCAAUCAUAUAUAUAAUAUAUUUUUUGUAACUAUGAACAUACACAGUUUUCCAGAAAUAGAUUUUACACUGUUUAGAAUUCCAACACCUACAGUGGAAAGACUGUUUAUUGUAGUAAUGCAUGGCUGAAGCAUAAAAGGGAGAGAGAAUUUCUUUAUAUACACAAACAUACAUGAAUAUGCAUAUCUAUAUGCAUAGAUGUACCUAUCCUGCACCCAAAAAGGUGCCUGGUAUUGGCACUAAAAUCAUGUAGUUAUACUGGGCAGCAAUAAUAAUUGGGCAUGAGGCUGAUUACUCAAUGGUGAGGGUAGGUAUAUGUAGAUAGAUGUGCAUGUAUGUGUUUGUAUAUAUAAUUUUAUAAGUUUCACGCAUAAAUUAAUACAUGCCUGUGUGCAUACAUAUGUAUGGGAUAUAUUUGUAUAUAUAUGUACAGGUAAUAAACAUCCCCAAGGUUUGUGGCUGGCCAUACACAUAGGCAUCAGUUUAACAACCAUCAGACCUCAGCUGUACAAUAACAGGUGUUUUGUUUAAUUAAAAUUAUACUGUUCUGCAGCAUUUAGACAUUUGUCACAUUUCAUUAGCUUUGACAACCAUACUGUAACAUUAAACCUAGCAUUCCACAAGAGAAUAAAUAUAAGAUUGAAACUGUAAAAUAUAUGCAACUGUGUGUUAUUUGUAGGAAAUGGUCACUAGAAAGAGCAAAAGAUUAUUCAGGUAUACAGGUUUUUUUUCAUUGUUUAGGAUUUUAACUCAAAACUUUAUGUAGAACAUUUCAGUAUAUUUGAGUUGAAUAUUUUUUUAUUAACUAUUUAUUUGCUAGUUCCAUAAACCAGCUCUUUAACAUAGCUUAUAGUAAUUGAUAUUUUCUUAGAAUAAGUACAGAGCAAUAUAUCAUUAAAGGGCUAUGAAGGGGCAAAAGAAAUCACACCAUAAAAGUUAGUACUUUUUCCCAAUCUGAAAUGUCAGAUAGAGCUAGAAGUCAGAUAUUUAGGCUGUUUAAACUUUCUGAGAGUUUAAUCAAAAGGUGUGUAUUUCUAGAAGGAUGACUAGAAAAAUGAUGUGUGGUUGCUUCUGAAUGGGAAACAGGAGUCAGAGCUGACAGGAAAACUUAGAGUGGCUAUAACAUUUUUAAAAUAAUCUUUUGAGUUGUAAAAUAGUAAAUCACACAUUCCAACUUUUCCAUAGAAAGGAAAACAUGUAAACAGGUAAGAACUAAGUAUUCUUAAUUAAAUGACCCAGUCAUUGUAGUACAUCUUAAGAAUAAUGAAGAGAUGUGGAGAAUUGAACUGAGUAAUGAAUGAUAUUAAAGAACUGCUGUCAAUUUCAUGGAUGUGAUGAUUUGGUAGUUUUUUCAAUGUAUGGGUGUGGGAAGUCAAACAAGCAUGAUAGAAUGUUAACUAUUUUAAACUGGGAAUUGGGUUCAUAGAUAUCCAUUGUACUACUUCCCUUGGUUUUUGUGUCUUUAUGAUAGGAAAUAGCAAACUGUUAAAAAUAUAGAUUCAGAGAUUAUUAGUCUUAUCAUUUGGGUUUCUUGUAGGAAAAUCUUAACAUUUGGGGGCCUGGGUAUAAUUUUUGUUUCAUAUAUUCACUCAUAUAUAUGCUUAUUGUAUAUGCUUAUUUAUUCUACAAACAUUUCUCCAAAAAGUAUUCUAGUGAAAGGGUAAAAGUCUUUGAUGUUGGGACUGAUUGAACUGGUAUAGCCUUAUUCCUUCUGGAUGGUUUAUAUGAACUUACUUAUUCAAAAGUAAAUAUUCCACUGAAGCUA